UAUGCCUGAUGAUUGCAUAUAUUUUCUACAUCCACUGAUACAUCAGAGGUCUGAUAAAACUGGCCACCUGCCUUUGCCACAUCUGUGCAUGACUAAUUUUCUGACUGGUCAUUCCUACAAAUCAGACUGUUCCAUGUGAUUAUUUUGGGGAAUGAUAACAUUUCCUAUCCUGAAUUUGUAAAAAAGAACAUUGCAUUUUCUUUUUCAAAAAUGUAUAAUGAUUUUUAAAAUUUACAUAUCUAUUAGUUAUUUGAUUUUUUUCACAUUCAAUGAUUGUAAGAUAGAAAUGAUGAGUGCUUUGAUUUUUGGAUUUACCCUGUUUUACAUAAUAUUGGACCUGCCCAGGUACACAGUUGUAAGUCUAAAACAUUUAGGUUAGCAAGCUGGUGGAAAUCACAGAGAAUCUACUUGAUGUUUUAGGAAUUUUAGAGAUAUUGUUUUGUUUAAGAUGUUUAAGUAUAGUAAUGGUAAAUAAGAAUGACAAGAAGAAUCACCUUGGACAAGAAGAUAUACAACAGGAUCAGGCUAGUGGGACCAGUUCUUACUUUGAGAUGCCAGGUGAAUAAUGAUAUGCAGUAUGGAGCCUGAAAAGGUGAACACAGCCACAUGAAGUUCUCCGAGGAAACAGAAUCAGAGGACUGAAACAGACAUCAAUAAAAGAAAUAGUAGUUUAAAUAAUCAGAAACAUUUGAAACAAAUUUAUGAUUUGAAAAGUUCCUCACUGACAGACUUCCAGCAAAAUAAUUGUAAAAAACAAAGUGUUUGAUUCCAAGAAAACGAGUACCUACAAAAACUUGCUGCUAGAAAUAAAUAUUGUUUUUGUUAUAGUGAAUGUAAGAUGAUUGAACUGAAGGAUAUGUAUGCUGAAUUUUGUAUUUUGCUCAUUUAUAUGACUAAGAAUAUAAAUUAAUAAACAUUUUUGAA